AUCAGCUGGACCGAAGAAUUCGCUUUGAUGGAAGCCGUGCAUCGGCAGUUGUCCGUAACGCACGAUGGCGCACGAUUAAAUACGCGAUACUUGAGAUCUCCACCAACUCCGGCUAACACUGUCGCAUGGAUCUAGAAAUGGCACAAUGUACUAUAAUGCAAAAAAUAAGUUCACCUACACUCAUACAUUCGCAUAGGAAUAAAGGCGGCCACCUUCUGCACAGUUCGUUCAGUUUUAUCAGCUGUGCGGUGUUGGUACGAGAGCGUAUACUGCAAUGAUCGACUGUUACAGUGCGGUAACUACAAAGGGAUACGGUUUUUUAUCGCCUGACCACGGAUAGGCGGAUUGGUUCACGGUUUGUUGGCUGUUACUAGAUCCGUAACAACUUUUACCGGCGCUAUCGUGAAUCUAAGAAACAAUGCUCGAUGCACAUCUGAUGAGGUGGAUCAUCUCGUUAAACGCACAGUCCACAUCGAGCGAUACAAAAAUAAUCGCAAUCCGUCAAAAGUAUAAAGUCACAGUCGACGUUUCUUCAUGUUAUCCUGUUUUAAUGCAGCGAAAUGAGCGUGUGCCGAUUGGUGCCGUUGCAUUUUGCUUGCGGGCCGAUUGGAAAUAUCGUACGAAUCUUCAACUAUGAAUUAUCGAGGGAAUCUCUCCAGCGAUCUUCUAAAAAUAAUUUUAACGAUCAUUCUAAAUAGAGACUGAAAGUUACACAAUUCUGAAACGAUACUCGCUAAAGUUACGACCCAGGAUGAAACGGCGGUAAACGAAGAAGGAACGAAUCUGUUCUAAUCGUUUUUCGAGACACCCAUACUCAACACCCUGACAACUGUUUCGGAAAAACGAAUGUUCGUAAUUUUCGAAUUUAAAUGCUCUCAUCUUGUGGUCGUCAGGCAAAAAAUAUAUUCUAUCUUGUAUAUAUUCAUUAUACACCAAUAGAUAGACUUAGAGAAGACCUGACAGACUUUAAAGAACUAGUGAUUUAAAAAUGUGGCUUCCAACGAUACAGGAGGGGGCUGGUUUUAAGUGAAACACCUCGAUAGCUAGAGAACGAAGGAAUAUCUUCUUCAUUAGCCAACAACAAUUAGUACAAUGACAACAAUAAUUGCUCAUCUUGUUUCGUCGCUAUCAUUAUAAUUUCUAUUAUCGUUGUUGUUAAUGUCGUUAUUGCCCCUAUCAUCUACCCAGUUGAAACAAAGAAAAUGUUUACAUCAAAUCCAAGAAGACUCCGCCCGCCGAAGCGAUAGUCGUUCAAUGCAUCGACACUUCCCCAUCGAAUAGCCAGCAUUUCUGCAGAUUUUUUGCAGAACAAAAUUUGUGGUGGCGCGUGUGCACGAAACUACGUUCACCUCUGAAAAGUGCACGCGGAUGUUCAUUCGGACCUGUCCACG